rnacentral:lncRNA from 1 species
ACACGUGUGUGGGUUUUUAAAAAUCGUUUUAGGGUCUUACUACGGAGCACAUUUGCAGUGAAUUGAGGAAUUUGAAUAUUUUGAAGAAUGUUUCCGCUGAAUAUUCAAUCUACAUCGCUUGCGAGCCUUCCCCUUCAGCGAACAAUGAAAUACAUGUGGCCAUUGUAAGUAUAAGACCCAUUCACACCUCAUUAUUCGAUGGCAAGGCAGUUCGGUUAACCAGUGUCUGAAUGGAGCAAAUUCACUGACAAAAAGCUUUGCAGACACAGAUUGUCGAGUAAUUUUGAAGAAAGGCUGCUUUGAGUAUUCCUCUGACUCUCAAGUCUGACAAUUGUUUUUCCAGUCUGCUGAAGAUAUACGGGAUGAUGGGAACCCGAUCAAGGAAAUCACUGACAAAAUAAUCGAUCUUGUUAGUAAACGUGAUGGAAACAGCUCGCUGAUUGCUGCCGUUGCAGAAGUAAGAGUUCAGAGGCGGCCUCUGAAGAACAGAACAGAUUUCCUUGUUCCCUUGCUGAGCUCUGUCUUAACUGUGGCUUGGAUCUGUUGCUUGGUGACGGCCUUCUACUGGUGCCUGCGGAAG